UACGUAGGGGGCAAGCGUUGUCCGGAAUCAUUGGGCGUAAAGAGCGCGUAGGCGGUCCGGUAAGUCGGUUGUGAAACUGGGGGCUCAACCCUCAGAGGCCGACCGAUACUGUCGGGCUAGAGUCCGGAAGAGGCGAGUGGAAUUCCUGGUGUAGCGGUGAAAUGCGCAGAUAUCAGGAGGAACACCAAUGGCGAAGGCAGCUCGCUGGGACGGUACUGACGCUGGAGGCGACGAAAGCGUGGGGAGCAAACAGG
rnacentral:rRNA from 1 species